CAGAAAUUUUAGCUCACCUUGCUCUCUUUGUCUCUCAAGGAAAGAGCUAGGAAGCUCUCUUAGGUCCACUUUGUCAAGCCCAUGGGUCCACAAAUUAAAAGAGAGAUAAGGCUUCAUCAUCUUUUCUUCUUUCUACUCUUUUAGAAGCAACUAGAAUAGUUAAGAGCUCUCUCCCUCUUUCAUUCCUACGGGUCCAACACCAAAAGAAGGAAAAGCUCUCAAUUAUUUUCUCCCUUUCACACCUACAUGUCCAGCAGCAAGAAGGAAGCUUCUUUCAACUCUCUCAAGCUCUCUACCUCUCAUACUUUCUAGUCCAGCCACUAGGAAAGGGAAAUCCUUUCAUGUGUUACCAGUAUCCAAGUCUAAGCUCCUUCGACUUUAGGCUCUCAGUUCCUCUGCUUUCAAGUAAGGGAUAAGUUAUAUGGGUAUUUGUUAGCAGGUUUUAUUUUGGAGCAGAGGAAGCCUGAGUCGAGUUUUGGAAGGAGCUGGUUUUAGUUUUAUAUGUAUAGAUCCUAAAUUAGCAAUAUGAUGUUUAGAUUUGUAGCAUUGUGUAUUUUAGGUCUAAUGAAAGUGCAUACCUUAAAGUAUUAAGAGAUGUAUUAUGUGAAAUUCUGAAUUUGAACAAUUGGUGGAUUAUGUCAAUCUUUGAGUACAAUGUAGAUGCUCUGAAUAUCAAGUGAAACGUUAUAUCA